UUCUCUAUUAACUACGGCCUGCUCAAUCGACCUGAAUUUCAUUGUUUUUUUGAUUCUGAGAAAACGCAAAAUGUCGCCACUUUGGCGCCACUUACCCGUUAACCGUCAAUUAAUUUUAGACCAUCAACUGUCAGUUUAUAGGUUAACAAGAAUUAGGAAACACUGGAAAUUUUGAUUUAAAUUUAUAAUAGAUGAAACCAUUAAGCUACAUGUGUACUUCAGAGGGCGUUUGCGAGAAAUAAUUCCAAAAUCAGCCCGUAAAGCCAUGGUUGGGCCUGCCCUCAACGUGGGUAAGGGUAUCGUUUUUACCUAGUUUUUCCGAGUUUGUGAGCGACUCCCACAAUACGAACGCAUUUCGAAAUUCGAAAAUGAUCUCCGAUAAACCUCUGAAAUUUGAAAUGACAACUUAUGAUUAAAGAUGGUAUAAAAUCAAAAUCAGAACUCUCGUGAGAGUUGCGCUCCAAUGGACACGUACCCUUACUUCUAGAGAGACAGAAUGUGGUGAAUAGAAUCAAGACGUUAACAUUUACUUUUCCUAAUUCGGAAAAUUAUUUAAAAAGAAAAUGGUUGGCCGCACUAAAGAGAAUGAUUUUUGAAACUUCUGCUAACCAAAGCCGAAGCAGACAUUGAAACAAGCUAUUUUCAUGAGAGGUCUGGACAGCUUCUUUAGUUCAUCCACAAUCGAAGCAGGGUGAAAAUAGCUGUUACAUACAGAAUCAGUUUAUAGAAGCGAAACUACUAAAUUUGGUAAAACUUUACAAAAGGCACUUCUCGAUUUCGCACAAACUGUUUGUAGGUUUGGCAAAAUUUGUACACGGAAACUACCAUAAAUAACGUGGGAAUAGCAUCACGUUUCAGCAAUUUUCUUCCUGAUUCAGAUGCUUUAAAACAUGAUUUCAGGAAAUGUAAACUGCAAACAACCGUUUUGUCCGAUAAUCUUGGGCACUCAUCUACAAUUUUUCGUAUUCAGAAGUGUCUUUUUUAAUAAAAUAUGUCAAACUUUAUGCAAACAAAAAUAGGUACUUAAUAAAAAUAUUUAUUGAAGAUUUACCGGUAUUAGGAUAUAUUUUUCCCAACCAUACUUGUCUUAGCUUAAAAUUAGAGGGAAACUCAUGAAAGGAUCUUGAAGGAUCUGUGGAGAAACACGACGGAACACAACAAAACGAAUAAGGCAUUUUAAAAUGCGAAACACAACACAAAGCACUAAAACAAACGUAAACAAAAACAAAACGAAACGGCGAUUGUAAAUCUCGGAUCUAUUUAAGCCACAAAUAAACUAAAACAGAUUAGACACAAGAGACACGUUGAGGAAUGACAAAUACUCCUGUCACAAUUUUUGAAAAUUAUCUAGUAGUAGGCAGGUGUCUUUUUUGGCGUUUAACGGGUAAGUGGCUCUACGCGGAGAACACGAAAACUAGACGAUUGAGCAGGCCGUAGUUAAUAGAGAAG